CCUACGGGGGGCUGCAGUGAGGAAUAUUGGUCAAUGGACGAGAGUCUGAACCAGCCAAGUAGCGUGAAGGAUGACUGCCCUAUGGGUUGUAAACUUCUUUUAUAAGGGAAUAAAACGAGGCACGUGUGCCUUUUUGCAUGUACUUCAUGAAUAAGGAUCGGCUAACUCCGUGUCAGCAGCCGCGGGAAUACGGAGGAUCCGAGCGUUAUCCGGAUUUAUUGGGUUUAAAGGGAGCGUAGAGGGGUUGUUAAGUGAGUUGUGAAAGGUUGCGGCUCAACCGUAAAAUUGCAAUUGAUACUGGCAGGCUUGAGUGCAGUUAGGGUAGGCGGAAUUCGUGGUGUAGCGGUGAAAUGCUUAGAUAUCACGAAGAACCCCGAUUGCGAAGGCAGCUUACUAAAGUGUGACUGACACUGAUGCUCGAAAGUGCGGGUAUCAAACAGGAUUAGAUACCCUAGUAGUC
rnacentral:rRNA from 1 species